ACAGAUUCUUGAACAAUUUAAUGUACACUCAAUGUCAGCAGCAGCUUUAACUGUGUACAGACAGACCUGUGCUUCUAGAUAUUUCUGUAAUCUCCUCUCUCCAUCCAAGCACACUUGAGAGUCAAAUAGUUAUCAUGACCUUGCCAUUGUACACUGAUGUGAAUUGAAACCGAAUCCCAGAUGUCAAUAAUCUGAAGUCCACUUGCAACCUGCAUAGACCUUCCCAUGAUUGAAAGGCUUCUCUCGUAUCUCUUUCUGAUAAAGUGUGGAAACAGGCCCUUCAGCCCAACAAGUGCACACCGAC